rnacentral:rRNA from 1 species
GAUGAACGCUGGCGGCGUGCCUAAUACAUGCAAGUCGAGCGAACAGACGAGGAGCUUGCUCCUUUGACGUUAGCGGCGGACGGGUGAGUAACACGUAGGUAACCUACCUAUAAGACUGGGAUAACUUCGGGAAACCGGAGCUAAUACCGGAUAAUAUUUCGAACCGCAUGGUUCGAUAGUGAAAGAUGGCUUUGCUAUCACUUAUAGAUGGACCUGCGCCGUAUUAGCUAGUUGGUAAGGUAACGGCUUACCAAGGCAACGAUACGUAGCCGACCUGAGAGGGUGAUCGGCCACACUGGAACUGAGACACGGUCCAGACUCCUACGGGAGGCAGCAGUAGGGAAUCUUCCGCAAUGGGCGAAAGCCUGACGGAGCAACGCCGCGUGAGUGUUGAAGGUCUUCGGAUCGUAAAACUCUGUUAUUAGGGAAGAACAAACGUGUAAGUAACUGUGCACGUCUUGACGGUACCUAAUCAGAAAGCCACGGCUAACUACGUG